AGUGAACGCUGGCGGUAGGCCUAACACAUGCAAGUCGAACGGCAGCACAGUAAGAGCUUGCUCUUACGGGUGGCGAGUGGCGGACGGGUGAGGAAUACAUCGGAAUCUACUUUUUCGUGGGGGAUAACGUAGGGAAACUUACGCUAAUACCGCAUACGACCUACGGGUGAAAGCAGGGGAUCUUCGGACCUUGCGCGAUUGACUGAGCCGAUGUCGGAUUAGCUAGUUGGCGGGGUAAAGGCCCACCAAGGCGACGAUCCGUAGCUGGUCUGAGAGGAUGAUCAGCCACACUGGAACUGAGACACGGUCCAGACUACUAAGGGAGGCAGCAGUGGGGAAUAUUGGACAAUGGGCGCAAGCCUGAUCCAGCCAUACCGCGUGGGUGAAGAAGGCCUUCGGGUUGUAAAGCCCUUUUGUUGGGAAAGAAAAGCAGCAGGUUAAUACCCCGCUGUUCUGACGGUACCCAAAGAAUAAGCACAGGCUAAAUUCGUG
rnacentral:rRNA from 1 species